ensembl:lncRNA
CACAAAUAUUCAACUUAUUAAAAUUAUUUUGCUUCCUGACUAAAAUGACUUACAAAAAAGGAUAUUUAAAUACCAAAAUAACAGUGUUACCUUCUUUUUUCUUCAUAAAGGCUAUAAACACUUCCCAGUCAUUUAAGAAAGGAUCCAAGUAUUUAUUUCUAAUAUAUGUCAUUAAUUGAUCCAUUUCAGUUAUUCUGGCACAUGCUCUUUGCUGCACUUUCUAUAAUGGGGCCAUAGUAAAGGUAAAGGUUUCCCCUGAUGUUAGGUCCAGUCGUGACCGACUCUGGGGGUUGGUGCUCAUCUCCAUUUCUAAGCCGAAGAGCCGGCAUUGUCCAUAGACAUCUCCAGGUCAUGUGGCCGGCAUGACUGCAUGGAGCGCCGUUACCUUCCCACUGGAGCGGUACCUAUUGAUCUACUCACAUUUGCAUGUUUUCAAACUACUAGGUUGGCAGGAGCUGGGGCUAACAGUGGGCGCUCAUUCCACUCCCGGGAUUUGAACCUGGGACCUUUUGGUCCACAGGUUCAGCUGCUCCUGUUCGAGAGGUUUUAUUAUCUCCCAGCCCCUUUCCACACUGUCCUUAUAUUCCAGGAUCUGAUCCCAGGUUUUUUGGCUUUAAGAUGGAUUAUAUGAGUCCACACUGCCAGUUCCUGGGGUAUAGAGCCUGUCUGGAAGGGCCCUAAGAUUUCAAAGUGUAGAAGAAAAAGUUUCAGAGUUCUAAUUGCUCUCCAUUUGUGCUUCCCUUGAGCCACCUGUGUGUCUGUUUGACAAUCUGAUCAGCUGUUUCAGGCUUUAAAAAAGCACAUGUGCAUUGUAACAGUCAACACAAAGGGGAGAAGGGGAAAUCACAUAUUUUGCAUGACUGCAGGCAGAGGCGGUCCAACAAUGAGGCGAAUUAGGCAGUCACCUGUGGAGCAAAACAUACGGGGGCGCAGUCGAGACUGCUUUUUCUGUUGAUUUGUUGUAAAACAUGAUGUUUUGGUGCUUAGUUUGUAAAAUCUUAAUGUAAUUUGAUGUUUAAUAGGCUUUUCCUUAAUCCCUCCUUAUUAUCCAACAUUUUCGUUUAUCCAACGCUUUUAUUUUUCAGUGAUUGGUUUUUUUUGGGGGGGGGGCAAAAUUCUGUUCGCCCACACUUGAAAAAUACCUAGGGCUGGCUCUGACUGCAGGGAUAUACAGUCAUGCAAAGGUGUGCAUUUUUGAGCCGGAAUCGGGUUAUAAGCACACCUUUUACCUCUCAACCCGAUCCCUCCCUCACUUUGGCUAAACAUCAUUUAGCCUCCACCACUCUUUUAACCCAGUUACUUUUGUUUUUUACAGCAUGUGUAGAAGGGCCCUGAGUGCAUCACCCAAUGUCAAAGACCAGGAUUUCUUAAUAUGCAGUCAAGUAGUUAAAGUGGAAUAGAACUGCUAGAAUUAUGUGGAAAAGAAACAUGAAGUGCAGUUGACCCUCUGUAUCCAGACUCAACUAUUCAUGGUUUGAAAAUAUGUCAGCUAUGCUCCUUCCUACAAUUGGAAGACCUAAAGAUGGUAAUGCAUUCACUAGUAGCCCCAAGAUUAUACUUCCGCAAUGCUCUGUACAUUGGGCUACCUCUGGUGCAUGUUCUGGGUUGUCCCUGGCAUUUUUUUUAAUUCUGGAGGCAGCCACUUUAAGCAGCUUUACCUGUGUUGAAUUAGAUCCAGCAGGCUGAUCUGACCCCACACUGACCUAAAUGGUCAGCGUAGAUGGGGACCUAGAGUUUGUCUGAUAAGAAUGUAAAUACCCUUCCCUAAACUUCAAAUCCCAGAAUUUCAUAGGAUGCAACUAUAGCAGUUAAAAUGGAAUAUAGAAUUAUACCUAUGUAGUGGGCUCGGGCUGUGGCGCAGGCUGGAGAGCAGCUGCAAUGAAUCACUGCAAUGAAUCACUCUGACCAGGAGGUCAUGAGUUCGAGGCCCGCUCGGAGCCUAUGUUUGUCUUGUCUUUGUUCUAUGUUAAAAGGCAUUGAAUGUUUGCCUAUAUGUGUAAUGUGUCCCCUUCGGGGUGAGAAGGGCGGAAUAUAAAUGCUGUAAAUAAAUAAAUAAUAAUAGUGUAUAAGGGCCCUUAUCUCUAUUGUAUUUGAGAGAAAGCUAGUACCUUGUUUCCCCGAAAAUAAGACAUCCCCUGAAAAUAAGACCUAGUAGAGGUUUUGCUGAAUUGCUAAAUAUAAGGCCUCCCCCGAAAGUAAGACCUAGCAAAGUUUUGAUUGUAAGCAUACUAGCUGAAGAGAACACCAGAGCAUGCAGAAUCAGUAAAUGUAUGUACUAUAGAUUGUUGUACAUGGAAAUAAUGGUAGUAACAAGAAAUUCUUGAUAGGAUUCACAGUUUGUUUAGUUAUGCUGGUUUGUGAUGACAACUACUGUACAACAUAUGAUAAAUGUUCAAUUUUUUUGGUUCAACAAUAAAUGUGAAUUCUUCUUCAUGGAAAAACAAGACAUCCCCUGAAAAUAAGACCUAGCGCAACUUUGGGAGCAAAUAUUAAUAUAAGACACUGUUAUUAUUGGGGAAACACGGUAUUGCCUAUCAACUAAAUUUCCAGGUAAAACAUGUCACAGAAAUAACUAAUAUGCAAGCUUUUAUCUUAUGCUUGUAUUAUUGUUUUGAAGAAUGUUUCUUUGCAUACACAAACACACACACACAUUCUCUGUAGAUAUAUAGAUACAGGUAAGGAAAGAUGCACACAUCGAACUGGGCAAAUGCUUGUUGUGAAAGAGAAACACCCAAUUAUCUAAAAUGUAAUCUUAAUGUGUCUUAUUAAAAACAGAUUACAUUAUAAAUGUACAAUGCAAUUUGCACAUUACAGCAGACACUUUGCAAAAUACAUGCCGCUUCUGCUGCGCAACAACCUGCAAAAGUGAAGAUACAGAAAGUGAGGAGGGAGAGGGGAAAAGCUGCUAUCUUUCUCUAAAUUGAUGUAUUUGGUGUUGAUAGUCAGAUACAGCUUUCACCUUCAUCCCAGCUUGUUUCUGACCCACUGAGUUAGUGUUAAUCACCCCUGUAGGCACCAAUAAUUUCCCAUAUGUGGAUUUUGAUAAGUUAGAGCACCCACUUCAUUUCAAGAAGAUUCCAGCUGACUAUCCAGUUAUCGCUAUGGACAGCUUCAAGCACUUCCAUGCCGGUCCUUGUAUUCUUAGCUUUAUCAAGUGCUUUGCACUUUUUUGUCUUUUAUCUCUUAAUUGAGACCUGACUGCAAGAAAAGCCUAUCUCUUAAACUGUGUUGCAUUACGUAUUAACUUUAACUGCGGCUUCGUCUACUUGAGGUACAGAAAGCCUUCAGAAAGACGGCGGGAGAGAGGGGAAAAAUCUUUCUAAAUCUCUAUUUAGAAGAAGGAGGGGGAAAUGUGUAAAUGCUACAAUGUAAUAGAAAAAAGCACCUCUUUUUCUGGACAAGCUCUCCUAAAGACGAUUGAAAAGUGUUUACGUAUUACAGAACUGGGAGUGUGGCGGGAGGGGGACAGCAGAGAGAGAGAGAAGCUUUAUAUCCUAUCUUUACUGACAAUAAAUUGCAAUGCAAUGACUCUGGGAAAAUAAAAAAGAUACAAUAUUAGGAAACCAAUAGAGCGGAAGCAAGGAUAUUAUUUUGUAAUUAAAGGUGAUAAAGAAUUCCUCAUUUACUUUGUAGCAAUGGUCUGUUAGUUCAUUCACUUGUAAAUAUACUUUGUGGAUGCUGCUUAUUAAUAGCUUUAUAUAGCAGCUCUGUGGCAAAAUACCAUCCUCCACAAAUUUCUCUAAUUAAGUGCCCCUUUUUAAGCACUGCAGAAGACAUUGGGGGAGGACACACUGGGUUUAUAAAUGGGCAAAGUGGCUUAGAGCUGGCAUUGUUUUCUUCAUCGUGGAAAUGUAUAGGCCAAAACCAAAGAAAGAAAGAAAGAAAGAAAGAAAGAAAGAAAGAAAGAAAGAAAGAAAGAAAGAAAGAAAGAAAGAAAGAAAGGAGGGAGGGAGGGAGGGAGACUGACUUCAGGAUAGCAUAUCUAAUGGAACACAAUAUAUAAACAAUACAAUGUUUGAAUUGUAUUGGGAGGCUCUCCUCUCGCUUCACAAGCACGGUUGGUGGGGACGAGGGAGAGGGUCUUCUCGGUAGUGGCCCCCUUACUCUGGAACUCUCUCCUCAGGGAGAUCAGAUUAGCAUCCACCCUGGCCAUAUUCCAAAAAGACUUGAAAACAUGGUUGUUUCAAUGUGCUUUUGAAUAAAUCAGCUUGCACUUUACUGCACAGUCCCGAAUCAUUCCUGCCCAUUCUUAGCACUUAAUUCCAUUCUGGUUCUAUUAUCUAUGGUUGCACAGCCUGCACCUUCCAUGCAACUUACCAUUUUUGCUCUGUAAUUGAUAUGGUUGUCUGUUCAUUUUAAGAUAUUUUAAAUAUCUCAAACUUGUAUUGUGCUUUAAUUGUACAUCAAACUGAUGUUUUUAAGCCUUGUCCCCAUGUGAGCUGCCCUGAGUCCCUUCGGAGAAAUGGAGGUGGGUUAUAAGAAAUAAAUUAUUUCUUAUAAUAAAUUAUUAUUAUUAUUAUUACAGUAGAGUCUCACUUAUCCAACAUAAUCGGACCAGCAGAACGUUGGAUAAGCAAAUAUGUUGGAUAAUAAGGAGAGAUUAAGAAAAAGCCUAUUAAACAUCAAAAUAGGUUAUGAUUUUACAAAUUAAGCACCAAAACAUCAUGUUAUACAACAAAUUUGACAGAAAAAGUAGUUCAUUACACAUUAAUGCUAUGUAGAAUUACUGUAUUUAUGAAUUUACGAAUUUAGCACCAAAAUAUCACAAUGCAUUGAAAACAUUGACUACAAAAAUGUGUUGGAUAAUCCAGAAUGUUGGAUAAGUGAGUGUUGGAUAAGUGAAACUCUACUGUAUUAUUAUUAUUAUUAUUAUUAUUAUUAUUAUUAUUAUUAUUAUUACAAUGUACAGGGGCCCCUGGUGGUGGCGCAGUGUGUUAAAGCGCUGAGCUGCUGAACUUGCAGACCAAAAGGUCCCAGGUUCAAAUCCCGAAACGGAAUGAGCGCCCGCUGUUAGCCCCAGCUCCUGCCAACCUAGCAGUUCGAAAACAUGCAAAUGUGUGUAGAUCAAUAGGUACCGCUCCGGCGGGAAGGUAACGGCGUUACAUGCAGCCAUGCUGGCCACAUGACCUUGGAGGUGUCUACGGACAACGGCGCCUCUUUGGCUGAGAAAUGGAAAUGAGCACCAACCCCCAGAGUCGGUCACGACUGGACUUAACGUCAGGGGGAAACCUUUACCUUUACCUACAAUGUACAACCAGCCUUCCAUAUCUGUGGGCUCCAGAUCCAUAGAUUUAACCAAGCAUGACUCAAAAAUAUUCCACUGUAGCU